UAAUAGGGGUUAAUGUGUUAAUAAUCACCUAACCUAGACCUUGAAUCUACAACCCAUAACCUUCUAAAGCAUCGACCCAUAACCCUUCUAAAGAUGCAAUGUAAUUUAUUCCCAUUGCUUUGCAUGUCAAAGUGAAGAAAUUCAACCAAGCGUGGGUAAACGGCGGGAGUAACUAGGACUAUCUUAAGGUAGCUAGAUGCCUCGUCAUCUAAUUAGUGGCACACAUGAAUGGAUCAUUAACGAGAUUCCCCACUGUCCCUAGCUACUAUAUUCUAUAGAAACCACAUCCAAGGGAAUGGGCUUGGAAGAAUUAGUGGGGAAAGAAGACCCUCAUGUUGAGUUUGACUCUAGUCCCAACCCAUUCAUAGUUUGGGAAAAUUAGGGCAUAUUUUGGGAAAAUUAGACCAUAACAUUUGUCUUUUGGAGUCAAAUUGAUGGUGGAAACAAGUGGGUGUGUGAAUCAAAUUUGAAUCUAGAAACCCCCCAUAUUGCUAAGGCAUGUGAAUAGUCUAUCUACGAUCAUGAUGGUGUAAAAAUGAAUGAGGUUCUCUUGGUUUCAAGAAUAAUUUAUCCUAUGUUGAACAAGGCCAA
rnacentral:ncRNA from 1 species